rnacentral:rRNA from 1 species
CUGACGAAUGCUUACACAUGCAAGUCGACUCGAGUCUUCUGACUUGGGUGGCGCACGGGUGAGUAACGCGUAAAGAACUUGCCUCUCAUACUGGGACAGCAUCUGGAAACGGAUGCUAAUACCGGAUAUUAUGGUUUCUUCGCAUGGAGGAAUCAUGAAAGCUAGAGUGACGCUAAGAGAGAGCUUUGCGUCCACAUAUAGCUGGUUGGUGAGGUAACGGCCCACCAAGGCAAUGAUGGGUAGCCAGCCUGAGAGGGUGAACGGCCACGAGGGGACUGAGACACGGCCCUUACUCCUACGGGAGGCAGCAGUGGGGAAUAUUGGACAAUGGACCACAAGUCUGAUCCAGCAAUUCUGUGUGCACGAUGACGUUUUUCGGAAUGUGAAAGUGCUUUCAGUCGGGAAGAAGUCAGUGACGGUACCGACGGAAUAAGCGACGGCUAAAUACUUGCCAGCAGCCGCGGUAAU